rnacentral:rRNA from 1 species
GGAAUAACGGCUGGAAACGGUCGCUAAUACCGCAUAACAUACUGGGAGGACAUCCUGCUGGUAUCAAAGAUUUAUCCGCUCGAAGAUGGGCUCGCGUCCGAUUAGGUAGUUGGUGAGGUAACGGCUCACCAAGCCGACGAUCGGUAGCCGGACUGGGAGGUUGAACGGCCACACUGGGACUGAGACACGGCCCAGACUCCUACGGGAGGCAGCAGUGGGGGAUAUUGCACAAUGGGGGAAACCCUGAUGCAGCGACGCCGCGUGUGGGAAGACGGUCCUCGGAUUGUAAACCACUGUCCCCAGGGACGAAAAUGACGGUACCUGGGGAGGAAGCUCCGGCUAACUACGUGCCAGCAGCCGCGGUAAUACGUAGGGAGCGAGCGUUGUCCGGAAUUACUGGGUGUAAAGGGAGCGUAGGCGGGGAUGCAAGUUGGGUGUCAAAACUACCGGCUCAACUGGUAGUCGCACUCAAAACUGCAGCUCUUGAGUGAAGUAGAGGCAGGCGGAAUUCCUAGUGUAGCGGUGAAAUGCGUAGAUAUUAGGAGGAACACCAGUGGCGAAGGCGGCCUGCUGGGCUUUUACUGACGCUGAGGCUCGAAAGUGUGGGGAGCAAACAGGAUUAGAUACCCUGGUAGUCCACACCGUAAACGAUGAUUACUAGGUGUGGGGGGUCUGACCCCUUCCGUGCCGGAG